AAAUUGAAGAGUUUGAUCAUGGCUCAGAUUGAACGCUGGCGGCAGGCCUAACACAUGCAAGUCGAGCGGUAGCACAGAGGAGCUUGCUCCUUGGGUGACGAGCGGCGGACGGGUGAGUAAUGUCUGGGAAACUGCCUGAUGGAGGGGGAUAACUACUGGAAACGGUAGCUAAUACCGCAUAACCUCGCAAGAGCAAAGAGGGGGACCUUAGGGCCUCUCGCCAUCAGAUGUGCCCAGAUGGGAUUAGCUAGUAGGUGAGGUAAUGGCUCACCUAGGCGACGAUCCCUAGCUGGUCUGAGAGGAUGACCAGCCACACUGGAACUGAGACACGGUCCAGACUCCUACGGGAGGCAGCAGUGGGGGAAUAUUGCACAAUGGGCGCAAGCCUGAUGCAGCCAUGCCGCGUGUGUGAAGAAGGCCUUCGGGUUGUAAAGCACUUUCAGCGAGGAGGAAGGCGGUAAGGUUAAUAACCUUAUCGAUUGACGUUACUCGCAGAAGAAGCACCGGCUAACUCCGUGCCAGCAGCCGCGGUAAUACGGAGGGUGCAAGCGUUAAUCGGAAUGACUGGGCGUAAAGCGCACGCAGGCGGUCUGUUAAGUUGGAUGUGAAAUCCCCGGGCUUAACCUGGGAACUGCAUUCAAAACUGACAGGCUAGAGUCUUGUAGAGGGGGGUAGAAUUCCAGGUGUAGCGGUGAAAUGCGUAGAGAUCUGGAGGAAUACCGGUGGCGAAGGCGGCCCCCUGGACAAAGACUGACGCUCAGGUGCGAAAGCGUGGGGGAGCAAACAGGAUUAGAUACCCUGGUAGUCCACGCUGUAAACGAUGUCGAUUUGGAGGUUGUGCCCUUGAGGCGUGGCUUCCGGAGCUAACGCGUUAAAUCGACCGCCUGGGGAGUACGGCCGCAAGGUUAAAACUCAAAUGAAUUGACGGGGGGCCCGCACAAGCGGUGGAGCAUGUGGUUUAAUUCGAUGCAACGCGAAGAACCUUACCUACUCUUGACAUCCACAGAAUUUGGUAGAGAUACCUUAGUGCCUUCGGGAACUGUGAGACAGGUGCUGCAUGGCUGUCGUCAGCUCGUGUUGUGAAAUGUUGGGUUAAGUCCCGCAACGAGCGCAACCCUUAUCCUUUGUUGCCAGCGAUUCGGUCGGGAACUCAAAGGAGACUGCCGGUGAUAAACCGGAGGAAGGUGGGGAUGACGUCAAGUCAUCAUGGCCCUUACGAGUAGGGCUACACACGUGCUACAAUGGCGUAUACAAAGAGAAGCGACCUCGCGAGAGCAAGCGGACCUCAUAAAGUACGUCGUAGUCCGGAUUGGAGUCUGCAACUCGACUCCAUGAAGUCGGAAUCGCUAGUAAUCGUAGAUCAGAAUGCUACGGUGAAUACGUUCCCGGGCCUUGUACACACCGCCCGUCACACCAUGGGAGUGGGUUGCAAAAGAAGUAGGUAGCUUAACCUUCGGGAGGGCGCUUACCACUUUGUGAUUCAUGACUGGGGGUGAAGUCGUAACAAGGUAACCGUAGGGGGAACCUGCGGUUGGAUCACCUCCUUACCAAGAAG
rnacentral:rRNA from 1 species